GGGUUGUGAGGUUAAGCGACUAAGCGUACACGGUGGAUGCCCUGGCAGUCAGAGGCGAUGAAGGACGUGCUAAUCUGCGAUAAGCGUCGGUAAGGUGAUAUGAACCGUUAUAACCGGCGAUUUCCGAAUGGGGAAACCCAGUGUGUUUCGACACACUAUCAUUAACUGAAUCCAUAGGUUAAUGAGGCGAACCGGGGGAACUGAAACAUCUAAGUACCCCGAGGAAAAGAAAUCAACCGAGAUUCCCCCAGUAGCGGCGAGCGAACGGGGAGCAGCCCAGAGCCUGAAUCAGUGUGUGUGUUAGUGGAAGCGUCUGGAAAGGCGCGCGAUACAGGGUGACAGCCCCGUACACAAAAAUGCACAUGCUGUGAGCUCGAUGAGUAGGGCGGGACACGUGGUAUCCUGUCUGAAUAUGGGGGGACCAUCCUCCAAGGCUAAAUACUCCUGACUGACCGAUAGUGAACCAGUACCGUGAGGGAAAGGCGAAAAGAACCCCGGCGAGGGGAGUGAAAAAGAACCUGAAACCGUGUACGUACAAGCAGUGGGAGCACGCUUAGGCGUGUGACUGCGUACCUUUUGUAUAAUGGGUCAGCGACUUAUAUUCUGUAGCAAGGUUAACCGAAUAGGGGAGCCGAAGGGAAACCGAGUCUUAACUGGGCGUUAAGUUGCAGGGUAUAGACCCGAAACCCGGUGAUCUAGCCAUGGGCAGGUUGAAGGUUGGGUAACACUAACUGGAGGACCGAACCGACUAAUGUUGAAAAAUUAGCGGAUGACUUGUGGCUGGGGGUGAAAGGCCAAUCAAACCGGGAGAUAGCUGGUUCUCCCCGAAAGCUAUUUAGGUAGCGCCUCGUGAAUUCAUCUCCGGGGGUAGAGCACUGUUUCGGCAAGGGGGUCAUCCCGACUUACCAACCCGAUGCAAACUGCGAAUACCGGAGAAUGUUAUCACGGGAGACACACGGCGGGUGCUAACGUCCGUCGUGAAGAGGGAAACAACCCAGACCGCCAGCUAAGGUCCCAAAGUCAUGGUUAAGUGGGAAACGAUGUGGGAAGGCCCAGACAGCCAGGAUGUUGGCUUAGAAGCAGCCAUCAUUUAAAGAAAGCGUAAUAGCUCACUGGUCGAGUCGGCCUGCGCGGAAGAUGUAACGGGGCUAAACCAUGCACCGAAGCUGCGGCAGCGACGCUUAUGCGUUGUUGGGUAGGGGAGCGUUCUGUAAGCCUGUGAAGGUGUGCUGUGAGGCAUGCUGGAGGUAUCAGAAGUGCGAAUGCUGACAUAAGUAACGAUAAAGCGGGUGAAAAGCCCGCUCGCCGGAAGACCAAGGGUUCCUGUCCAACGUUAAUCGGGGCAGGGUGAGUCGACCCCUAAGGCGAGGCCGAAAGGCGUAGUCGAUGGGAAACAGGUUAAUAUUCCUGUACUUGGUGUUACUGCGAAGGGGGGACGGAGAAGGCUAUGUUGGCCGGGCGACGGUUGUCCCGGUUUAAGCGUGUAGGCUGGUUUUCCAGGCAAAUCCGGAAAAUCAAGGCUGAGGCGUGAUGACGAGGCACUACGGUGCUGAAGCAACAAAUGCCCUGCUUCCAGGAAAAGCCUCUAAGCAUCAGGUAACAUCAAAUCGUACCCCAAACCGACACAGGUGGUCAGGUAGAGAAUACCAAGGCGCUUGAGAGAACUCGGGUGAAGGAACUAGGCAAAAUGGUGCCGUAACUUCGGGAGAAGGCACGCUGAUAUGUAGGUGAAGUCCCUCGCGGAUGGAGCUGAAAUCAGUCGAAGAUACCAGCUGGCUGCAACUGUUUAUUAAAAACACAGCACUGUGCAAACACGAAAGUGGACGUAUACGGUGUGACGCCUGCCCGGUGCCGGAAGGUUAAUUGAUGGGGUUAGCCGCAAGGCGAAGCUCUUGAUCGAAGCCCCGGUAAACGGCGGCCGUAACUAUAACGGUCCUAAGGUAGCGAAAUUCCUUGUCGGGUAAGUUCCGACCUGCACGAAUGGCGUAAUGAUGGCCAGGCUGUCUCCACCCGAGACUCAGUGAAAUUGAACUCGCUGUGAAGAUGCAGUGUACCCGCGGCAAGACGGAAAGACCCCGUGAACCUUUACUAUAGCUUGACACUGAACAUUGAGCCUUGAUGUGUAGGAUAGGUGGGAGGCUUAGAAGUGUGGACGCCAGUCUGCAUGGAGCCGACCUUGAAAUACCACCCUUUAAUGUUUGAUGUUCUAACGUUGACCCGUAAUCCGGGUUGCGGACAGUGUCUGGUGGGUAGUUUGACUGGGGCGGUCUCCUCCUAAAGAGUAACGGAGGAGCACGAAGGUUGGCUAAUCCUGGUCGGACAUCAGGAGGUUAGUGCAAUGGCAUAAGCCAGCUUGACUGCGAGCGUGACGGCGCGAGCAGGUGCGAAAGCAGGUCAUAGUGAUCCGGUGGUUCUGAAUGGAAGGGCCAUCGCUCAACGGAUAAAAGGUACUCCGGGGAUAACAGGCUGAUACCGCCCAAGAGUUCAUAUCGACGGCGGUGUUUGGCACCUCGAUGUCGGCUCAUCACAUCCUGGGGCUGAAGUAGGUCCCAAGGGUAUGGCUGUUCGCCAUUUAAAGUGGUACGCGAGCUGGGUUUAGAACGUCGUGAGACAGUUCGGUCCCUAUCUGCCGUGGGCGCUGGAGAACUGAGGGGGGCUGCUCCUAGUACGAGAGGACCGGAGUGGACGCAUCACUGGUGUUCGGGUUGUCAUGCCAAUGGCACUGCCCGGUAGCUAAAUGCGGAAGAGAUAAGUGCUGAAAGCAUCUAAGCACGAAACUUGCCCCGAGAUGAGUUCUCCCUGACUCC
rnacentral:rRNA from 1 species